UAAUGGACUGAAUAUUGAAUAGCGAUU
rnacentral:sRNA from 1 species